rnacentral:rRNA from 1 species
CUACGGGCUGCAGCAGUGAGGAAUAUUGCACAAUGGGGGGAACCCUGAUGCAGCAACGCCGCGUGGAGGAUGACGCAUUUCGGUGUGUAAACUCCUUUUAUAUGUCAAGAAAAUGACGGUAGCAUAUGAAUAAGCACCGGCUAACUCCGUGCCAGCAGCCGCGGUAAUACGGAGGGUGCAAGCAGUUACUCGGAAUCACUGGGCGUAAAGGACGCGUAGGCGGGUUGGAAAGUCAGGUGUGAAGUCCUACAGCUUAACUGUAGAACCGCACUUGAAACUUCUAAUCUAGAGUAUGGGAGGGGGAGAUGGAAUUAGUGGUGUAGGGGUAAAAUCCGUAGAUAUCACUAGGAAUACCUAAAGCGAAGGCGAUCUCCUGGAACAUUACUGACGCUAAGGCGUGAAAGCGUGGGGAGCAAAUAGGAUUAGAUACCCUUGUAGUC